AGUGAACGCUGGCGGUAGGCCUAACACAUGCAAGUCGAACGGCAGCACAGUAAGAGCUUGCUCUUACGGGUGGCGAGUGGCGGACGGGUGAGGAAUACAUCGGAAUCUACUUUUUCGUGGGGGAUAACGUAGGGAAACUUACGCUAAUACCGCAUACGACCUACGGGUGAAAGCAGGGGAUCUUCGGACCUUGCGCGAUUGAAUGAGCCGAUGUCGGAUUAGCUAGUUGGCGGGGUAAAGGCCCACCAAGUCGACGAUCCGUGGCUGGUCUGAGAGGAUGAUCAGCCGCACUGGAGCUGAGACACGGUCCAGACGCCUACGGGAGGCAGCAGUGGGGAAUAUUGGACAAUGGUCGCAAGCCUUAUCCAGCCAUACCGCGUGGGUGAAGAAGGCCUUCGGGUUGUAAAGCCCUUUUGUUGGGAAAGAAAAGCAGCAGGUUAAUACCCCGCUGUUCUGACGGUACCCAAAGAAUAAGCACCGGCUAACUUCGUG
rnacentral:rRNA from 1 species